AGUGUGUAUGAGUGUGUGUGUGUGUGUCAGUGGGAGCUGUCCAUCCGCACACACUCACACACACACACACACG